AGCUAACCAUGCAAGUCGAGCGGUAGCACAGAGAGCUUGCUCUCGGGUGACGAGCGGCGGACGGGUGAGUAAUGUCUGGGAAACUGCCUGAUGGAGGGGGAUAACUACUGGAAACGGUAGCUAAUACCGCAUAACGUCGCAAGACCAAAGUGGGGGACCUUCGGGCCUCAUGCCAUCAGAUGUGCCCAGAUGGGAUUAGCUGGUAGGUGGGGUAACGGCUCACCUAGGCGACGAUCCCUAGCUGGUCUGAGAGGAUGACCAGCCACACUGGAACUGAGACACGGUCCAGACUCCUACGGGAGGCAGCAGUGGGGAAUAUUGCACAAUGGGCGCAAGCCUGAUGCAGCCAUGCCGCGUGUGUGAAGAAGGCCUUCGGGUUGUAAAGCACUUUCAGCGGGGAGGAAGGCGGUGAGGUUAAUAACCUCAUCGAUUGACGUUACCCGCAGAAGAAGCACCGGCUAACUCCGUGCCAGCAGCCGCGGUAAUACGGAGGGUGCAAGCGUUAAUCGGAAUUACUGGGCGUAAAGCGCACGCAGGCGGUCUGUCAAGUCGGAUGUGAAAUCCCCGGGCUCAACCUGGGAACUGCAUUCGAAACUGGCAGGCUAGAGUCUUGUAGAGGGGGGUAGAAUUCCAGGUGUAGCGGUGAAAUGCGUAGAGAUCUGGAGGAAUACCGGUGGCGAAGGCGGCCCCCUGGACAAAGACUGACGCUCAGGUGCGAAAGCGUGGGGAGCAAACAGGAUUAGAUACCCUGGUAGUCCACGCUGUAAACGAUGUCGAUUUGGAGGUUGUGCCCUUGAGGCGUGGCUUCCGGAGCUAACGCGUUAAAUCGACCGCCUGGGGAGUACGGCCGCAAGGUUAAAACUCAAAUGAAUUGACGGGGGCCCGCACAAGCGGUGGAGCAUGUGGUUUAAUUCGAUGCACGCGAGAACCUUACCUGGUCUUGACAUCCACAGAACUUUCCAGAGAUGGAUUGGUGCCUUCGGGAACUGUGAGACAGGUGCUGCAUGGCUGUCGUCAGCUCUGUGUGAAAUGUUGGGUUAAGUCCCGCAACGAGCGCACCCUUAUCCUUGUUGCCAGCGU
rnacentral:rRNA from 1 species